CGCAGCCGCGGUAAUUCCAGCUCCAAUAGCGUAUAUUAAAGUUGUUGCAGUUAAAAAGCUCGUAGUUGAAUUUCGGGGUUAGCAGGUCGGUCGUGCCAUCGGUAUGAACUGGUCUCGCUGAUCCCUCCCUCUUGACGAACUGUGAUGCCAUUAAUUUGGUGUCGCAGGGAAUCAGGACUGUUACUUUGAAAAAAUUAGAGUGUUUAAAGCAGGCUCACGCUUGAAUACAUUAGCAUGGAAUAAUGAAAUAGGACGUUUGAUCCUAUUUUGUUGGUUUCUAGGAUUGACGUAAUGAUUAAUAGGGAUAGUUGGGGGCAUUAGUAUUCAAUUGUCAGAGGUGAAAUUCUUGGAUUUAUUGAAGACUAACUACUGCGAAAGCAUUUGCCAAGGAUGUUUUCAUUAAUCAAGAACGAAAGUUAAGGGGACCGAAGACGAUCAGAUACCGUCGUAGUCUUAACCAUAAACUAUAGCCGACUACGGGAAUCGGAAUGAGUGUUAAUUAUUUUAAUUGUACUCAUUC
rnacentral:rRNA from 1 species